CCUCGCCAUCACGCCUCUGCCCCUCUCCGCAGGCCCCCGCCACGGAGCGCGUCCACCGUGGCCUCGACGGCGUCGAGCGCACCUUCACCAUCAGCUACAUCCCCAAGCCGGACUACGCCGUCCCCUACCUCGCCUCCGCCACCGCCCACCGCCUCCUCGCCCACGACGACAUCUUCUGCGCCGCCUGCCUCGGCGUCAUCGCCGCCCCGGCCCUGAUGCCGCCGCCGGCUCCAUGGUCGUCGAGUUCUAGUCCAUCGUCGGUGUCGCCCGGGCCACGCUCCACUGCUUCUCGUCCCACACCGGCGCCUAGGUCACCACUCACCAAGGCCGUCCGCAGCCCGCUCCCGCACUGGAUCUAGAAUUUCGACGACGUCGUCUCCCACAGCGGCAUGGGUCGACACCGCCGCGGGACUCGAUCCUCGCCUGUGACCCCUUCGCCCACUCCCCACUUCCCCAGGCCCAGGGACGACGAUGACGCUGACGCUGCUUCACGCUGCUCCUGCUACUACUGCUCCGAGAGAAUGAUCGCCUCCCACCGCGUCGUGCAGCUCAGCAACGACAGCUUUCGCUGCGUCCACAUCGCCCCCGCCCGCCACGGCACCGCGCCCACCGUCACCGCGCGCACGACGCUCGCCAACCCGGAGACGACCGACUGGACGCUCGACUACCAGGCGUCCAUCGCCGACAUCUGAGCAGACACCACCUACAAGGCCACGGCCCACGGGGCUACCGCACAAGGAACCCGUCGUCGCGCUCAUCCACCCCAUCAACACCGACGUCCUGUACUGCUUCCUCGACGGCUACCUCUUCGGCGUCGACAUGUGUGCCAGGAAGGUGGUCCAGUACGAGGCUCACGGGAUGGCCCAAGACAGCGUCUCUUCCUCCUCUGUUCUCGGCUUCUCGCCUGCAAGCUGCCCCCCGCGCGCACAAUGGCAAUCGCAGUCCCAGGCUCCCAGCCCCAGGAAUGGCUAAAGGUCUAGUGGAUGCUACGGCUUAGGAGUUGGGAGUUCCUGAACAAGGCAAACUGGAACGGUUUGCUUUUCUUCUUGGAAUGGCUAAAGGUCUAGUGGAUGAUACGGCUUAGGAGUUCCUGAACAAGGCAAACUGGAACGGUUUGCUUUUCUUCUUGGUUUCGGUGGGGAUGAACAUGUCAAUGCUUCAAAUAAUGAGUCCACAACAGCAGCAUCAACUUGAAGUGCUGGGAUUGGGAAUACUGGCUGACCUUUUUGGCAGGUUUAGGAAGCAAUAUGUGACCGACAUCAAGUUACUACCAGAGGCGUGUUAGGAUGUGGCAUCACGUUCCAUGGCGAGAACGCAUGCUUGUGUGUUUAGUAGUAGUUUAGAUAGUUUAUCGCUCAUGUCAGGUCGUCACGAUGAACAAUGGACAUGUUAUUCUUGGGAACUGGAUCUCGUUCUGAGGCCUUGGAUCGGUCGAUGUCAGAGUGGUAGUAUGGGAGGGUGUUUGGAACUGCUUCACGUUUUUUUUAGCUCCGUUCCACGUUUUUUAGCCAAA